AACGUAGGUGGCAAGCGUUGUCCGGAAUUACUGGGUGUAAAGGGAGCGCAGGCGGACUGACAAGUUGGACGUGAAAUCUAUGGGCUCAACCCAUAACGUGCGUUCAAAACUGUUGGUCUUGAGUGAUGUAGAGGUAGGCGGAAUUCCCGGUGUAGCGGUGGAAUGCGUAGAUAUCGGGAGGAACACCAGUGGCGAAGGCGGCCUACUGGGCAUUAACUGACGCUGAGGCU
rnacentral:rRNA from 1 species